AGAAACCGAGAUUAAAUGAAAAGACGAGAAAAGGAAAAUAACAUUCCAUGGAAAAAUGCUACCAAAAGGAAAUCAAGUUCUUCUCACCCAAAACAAAAGAAAUCACAAACAAAAAACAAAACACAAAUGCGCACAAAAAAUAACACAAAUCAACAAAUAAUACCAACACAUAACAGAGAUAAUGAAAAUUGCGAUAUAGCAGACAAAAGGGAAUACGAAGUAAACUUAGAUAAGAAGUACUUCCUCAUAAACUUCUCUUGCUUCCGAGAAACCUGAAAAAUCCAGUGAUAUGCUUAGAAAUGCUUGCCAAAGAAACCAAGAUCACAUGAAAAGACCAGAAAUGGAAAUUACACUAUUCUCACCCACAAAGAAAGAAAUGAGAAAUAAAAAAUGAAACGUAAAGCGCACAAACCAAAACAUAAUGAACAUAUUCGAACUUAAUUCAAUAAUGCAUAGAUCAAGUCAACAAAUCAUACCCAAACAUAACAAAUAUAUUGAACAAUGCGAUAUAUGAAAGAACAGGGAAUACGAAGAAAACUUAUCUAAGAAGACUUUCCUCACACACUUCUCCUGCUCCCGAGAAUCCUGAAAAAUCCACUUAUAUGCUUAUUAAUGGUGGGACAAGACACCGAGAUCAGAUAAUAAGACGAGAAAAUAAAAAUAACAUCCCAUGGAAAAACACAGUUCAAAGGAAAUCAAAUACUUCUAUCAAACAAUCAAAUAAAUGACAAAUAAAAAGCCACAUAUAAAACCAACAACCAAACACUGAAAUCAAAAUAUUCUAAAUAAAUUGUAUAACGCUUACAUAAAGUCAAAAAAUAAUACCCAAACAUAACAGACAUAACGAACGAUGUGAUUUGGGAGAAUUUGAACGAAACUUACAUAAAAAGUACUUCUUCAUACACUUCACCUGGUCCCGAUUAACCUGAAAAUAUGAAGUUAUACGGUUAUAAAUUGUGGGCAAAGAAACCGAGAUUAAAUGAAAAGACGAGAAAAGCACAAUAACAUUCCAUGGCAAAAUGCUACCAAAAGGAAAUCAAGUUCUUCUCACCCAAAAUCAAACAAAUCACAAACAAAAAACAAAACACAAAUGCGCACAAAAAAUAACACAAAUAAACAAAUAAUACCAACACAUAACAGAAAUAAUGAAAAUUGCGAUAUAGCAGACAAAAUGGAAUACGAAGUACUUCCUCAUAAACUUCUCUUGCUUCCAAGAAACCUGAAAAAUCCAGUGAUAUGCUUAGAAAUGCUUGCCAAAGAAGCCGAGAUCACAUGAAAAGACCAGAAAAAUACAAAUUACACUAUUCUCACCCACAAAGAAAGAAAUGAGAAAUAAAAAAUGAAACGUAAAGCGCACAAACCAAAACAUAAUGAACAUAUUCGAACUUAAUUCAAUAAUGCAUAGAUCAAGUCAACAAAUCAUACCCAAACAUAACAGAUAUAUUGAACAAUGCGAUAUAUGAAAGAACAGAGAAUACGAAGAAAAAUCCACUUAUAUGCUUAUUAAUGGUGGGACAAGACACCGAGAUCAGAUGAAAAGACGAGAAAAUCAAAAUACCACCCCUUUGAAAAACACAGUUUAAAGGAAAUCAAAUACUUCUCAAAAACAAUCAAAUAAAUGACAAAUAAAAAGCCACACACAAAACCCACAACCAAACACUGAAAUCAUAAUAUUCUAAAUAAAUUAUAUAACGCAUACAUAAAGUCAAAAAAUAAUACCCAAACAUAAUAGACAUAACGAACGAUGUGAUAUGGGAGAAUUCGAAUGAAACUUACCAAAAAAGUACUUCUUCAUACACUUCACCUGGUCCCGAUUAACCUGAAAAAAUGAAGUUAUACGGUUAUAAAUUGUAGGCAAAGAAACCGAGAUUAAAUGAAAAGACGAGAAAAGGACAAUAACAUUCCAUGGCAAAAUGCGACCAAAAGGAAAUCAUGUUCUUCUCACCCAAAAUCAAAGAAAUCACAAACAAAAAACAAAACACAAAUGCGCACAAAAAAUAACAAAACUCAACAAAUAAUACCAACACAUAACAUAGAUAAUGAAAAUUGCGAUAUAGCAGACAAAAGGGAAUACGAAGUAAACUUAGAUAAGAAGUACUUCCUCAUAAACUUCUCUUGCUUCCGAGAAACCUGAAAAAUCCAGUGAUAUGCUUAGAACUGCUGGCCAAAGAAGCCGAGAUCACAUGAAAAGACCAGAAAAGGAAAUUACACUAUUCUCACCCACAAAGAAAGAAAUGAGAAAUAAAAAAUGAAACGUAAAGCGCACAAACUAAAACAUAACGAACAUAUUCGAAAUGAAUUCAAUAAUGCAUAGAUCAAGUCAACAAAUCAUACCCAAACAUAACAGAUAUACUGAACAAUGCGAUAUAUGAAAGAACAGGGAAUACGAAGAAAACUUAUCUAAGAAGACUUUCCUCACACACUUCUCCUGCUCCCGAGAAUCCUGAAAAAUCCACUUAUAUGCUUAUUAAUGGUCGGACAAGACACCGAGAUCAGACGAAAAGACGAGAAAAUCAAAAUAACAUCUCAUGGAAAAACACAGUUCAAAGGAAAUCAAAUACUUCUAUCAAACAAUCAAAUAAAUGACAAAUAAAAAGCCACACAUAAAACCCACAACCAAACACUGAAAUCAAAAUAUUCUAAAUAAAUUCUAUAACCCAUACAUAAAGUUAAAAAAUAAUACCCAAACAUAACAGACAUAACGAACGAUGUGAUAUGGGAGAAUUCGAAUGAAACUUACCAAAAAAGUACUUCUUCAUACACUAAACCUGGUCCCGAUUAACCUGAAAAAAUGAAGUUAUACGGUUAUAAAUUGUGGGCAAAGAAAUCGACAUUAAAUGAAAAGACGAGAAAAGGACAAUAACAUUCCAUGGCAAAAUGCGACCAAAAGGAAAUCAAGUUCUUCUCACCCAAAAUGAAAGAAAUCACAAACAAAAAACAAAACACAAAUGCGCACAAAAAUUAACAAAAAUCAACAAAUAAUACCAACACAUAACAUAGAUAAUUAAAAUUGCGAUAUAGCAGACAAAAGGGAAUACGAAGUAAACUUAGAUAAGAAGUACUUCCUCAUAAACUUCUCUUCUUCCGAGAAACUUGAAAAAUCCAGUGAUAUGCUUAGAAAUGCUUGCCAAAGAAGCCGAGAUCACAUGAAAAGACCAGAAAAGGAAAUUACACUAUUCUCACCCACAAAGAAAGUAAUGAGAAAUAAAAAAUAAAACGUAAAGCGCACAAACCAAAUCAUAACGAACAUAUUCGAAAUGAAUUCAAUAAUGCAUAGAUCAAGUCAACAAAUCAUACCCAAACAUAACAGAUAUAUUGAACAAUGCGAUAUAUGAAAGAACAGGGAAUACGAAGAAAACUUAUCUAAGA
rnacentral:lncRNA from 1 species